GAUGAACGCUGGCGGCGUGCCUAAUACAUGCAAGUCGAGCGAACAGACGAGGAGCUUGCUCCUCUGACGUUAGCGGCGGACGGGUGAGUAACACGUGGAUAACCUACCUAUAAGACUGGGAUAACUUCGGGAAACCGGAGCUAAUACCGGAUAAUAUAUUGAACCGCAUGGUUCAAUAGUGAAAGACGGUUUUGCUGUCACUUAUAGAUGGAUCCGCGCCGCAUUAGCUAGUUGGUAAGGUAACGGCUUACCAAGGCGACGAUGCGUAGCCGACCUGAGAGGGUGAUCGACCACACUGGAACUGAGACACGGUCCAGACUCCUACGGGAGGCAGCAGUAGGGAAGCUUCCGCAAUGGGCGAAAGCUUGACGGAGCAACGCCGCGUGAGUGAUGAAGGUCUUCGGAUCGUAAAACUCUGUUAUUAGGGAAGAACAAAUGUGUAAGUAACUAUGCACGUCUUGACGGUACCUAAUCAGAAAGCCACGGCUAACUACGUG
rnacentral:rRNA from 1 species